UACGUAGGCAGCGAGCGUUGUUCGGAGUUACUGGGCGUAAAGCGUGCGUAGGCGGUUGUCUAAGUUUGGUGUGAAAUCUCCCGGCUUAACUGGGAGGGUGCGCCGAAAACUGGGUGACUGGAGUGUCGGAGAGGUAAGCGGAAUUCCUGGUGUAGCGGUGAAAUGCGUAGAGAUCAGGAGGAACACCUGUGGUGUAGACAGCUUACUGGACGAUAACUGACGCUGAGGCACGAAAGCGUGGGGAGCGAACAGG
rnacentral:rRNA from 1 species